UGGGGGAAUAUUGGACAAUGGGGGCAACCCUGAUCCAGCCAUGCCGCGUGAGUGAUGAAGGCCUUCGGGUUGUAAAGCUCUUUUGGCGGGGACGAUGAUGACGGGUACCCGCAGAAUAAGCCCCGGCUAACUUCGUGCCAGCAGCCGCGGUAAGACGAAGGGGGCUAGCGUUGUUCGGAAUUACUGGGCGUAAAGCGAGUGUAGGCGGUUGCCGUAGUCAGGUGUGAAAGCCUUGAGCUCAACUCAAGAAAUGCACUUGAUACUGGGUGACUAGAGGACCGGAGAGGAUAGUGGAAGUUCCCAGUGUAGUGGUGAGAUACGUAGAGAUUGGGAAGAACACCAGUGGCCGAAGGCGGCUAUCUGGACGGUUACUGACGCUAAGACUCGAAAGCGUGGGGAGCAAACAGGAUUAGAUACCCUGGUAGUCCACGCCGUAAACGAUGGGUGCUAGACGUUGGCGAGCUUGCUCGUCAGUGUCGCAGCUAACGCGUUAAGCACCCCGCCUGGGGGAGUACGGCCGCAAGGUUGAAACUCAAAUGAAUUGACGGGGGUCAUAGCUG
rnacentral:rRNA from 1 species